rnacentral:rRNA from 1 species
UACGUAGGCAGCAAGCGUUGUUCGGAGUUACUGGGCGUAAAGGGUGCGUAGGCGGCCAACUAAGUCAGACGUGAAAUCCCUCGGCUUAACCGGGGAACUGCAUCUGAUACUGGAUGGCUUGAGUUCGGGAGAGGGAUGCGGAAUUCCAGGUGUAGCGGUGAAAUGCGUAGAUAUCUGGAGGAACACCGGUGGCGAAGGCGGCAUCCUGGACCGGCACUGACGCUGAGGAGCGAAAGCCAGGGGAGCAAACGGG